GUCAGUGUAGCAUAAUUGGCUAAUGCAAAAGAUUGUUAAUCUUUAGAGUGAAGGUUCAAAUCCUUUCACUGGCU
rnacentral:tRNA from 1 species